GUGGGGAAUAUUGCGCAAUGGGCGAAAGCCUGACGCAGCGACGCCGCGUGAGGGAUGAAGGUUUUCGGAUUGUAAAGCUCUGUUAAUCGGGACGAAAGAGCCUAGUGUGAAUAAUGCUAGGAAGUGACGGUACCGGAAUAGAAAGCCACGGCUAACUACGUGCCAGCAGCCGCGGUAAUACGUAGGUGGCAAGCGUUGUCCGGAAUUAUUGGGCGUAAAGCGCGCGCAGGCGGAUCUGCCAGUCUGUCUUAAAAGUUCGGGGCUUAACCCCGUGAUGGGAUGGAAAAUACAGAUCUAGAGUAUCGGAGAGGAAAGUGGAAUUCCUAGUGUAGCGGUGAAAUGCGUAGAUAUUAGGAAGAACACCAGUGGCGAAGGCGACUUUCUGGACGAAAACUGACGCUGAGGCGCGAAAGCCAGGGGAGCGAACGGGAUUAGAUACCCUAGUAGUCC
rnacentral:rRNA from 1 species